AUUGACCUCGGAUCAGGUGAGGAUACCCGCUGAA
rnacentral:rRNA from 1 species